GCUAACAGUGUAGAGCGCUCCACUGGAAAUGGAGAGGUCCCGGGUUCGAUACCCGG
rnacentral:tRNA from 1 species